CUGCUCUGGCUUCUCUGAGGAGCCGCCAGCCGCGUCCUGGCUUUGGAGCCUCUCCGAAGUCCUACGUCUGCGCCCCCCAUCCGCCAUACAGACCACCCCCAUCAGGGGAUAUAUGUUGCUCUGGGAGAACAGUUGAUGUUUUUCUCCUUGUUGGGAAAGAAGAAUGAAGUAUGAGAAAACAGGAAAUUAGGCAUUUGUAGAAGGGAGACAGAAGUAAAGUGGAUUCAAUCUCCUGGAAACAUCCCUUGACUGAGCUAUCAACCAGUGGUUGGUGAAGGUGGACUCUUUUCUGUUACCUUUUCUCCAGUGAAGAUGGUUCCAAAUAAAGCUGUCCGAUAUAGAAAGACAUGGUUGCUAGGUAGCUGGAGUCAUGAUGGGUGAUGUUACCAGGGAGGAUAACAGAGGUCCCGUGCUGGUGAUGGAAUGGUGAGCACUACUUCCCUGGAGUUUCAGUCACUCCAAUGAAUAUAUAACUAAACCUGAGAUAUCAUCAGAACAUUCAAUCAUGCCAACAGGAAAUACUAUACGAAGUUGCUUGGGAAAUGACCCUUUGGAUAUUUUAUUUUUGUUUAUGGAUGUUAAGCUUUAUCUGUCGAGGUUUAGGCCUGGACAUCUGUGGUAAACUGCUUGAACACUGAUUCUGUUACCCCCUGUAUCUGCUAUAACUUGUGAUUAGGGACUCUUAUUUUGGACAUAGAUAUCUACAUUCUAUGUUGAAUUGAUUUGUCCUUCACUAAACUGCAUGCAAUUGAUCUUGUAUUUCUCUAUAUUGUAUAUUUCUGUCAUGAAAGAUUUUGUUAAAUGUCUUUAUGCAAAAUGAUAGAGUCUUCAGUAAUGCCCAGAAUUUCUCCUUUGGAAAUCUGUAGUUCUGUCUAGAGAUUCUUGUUUUGUUUUCAAAUAAACAAUUCUUUUAAUAUUCAGCCCUAGAAUUUUGCUCAUGUUUGCUAAAUACCCCUAGCUACAAAUUUUGGACCUCAAAUCUAUAUUUGCCUGUUUCCUAGUAUGGAUUUAUUUAUUCUCCAUGAUUUCUCAAAGUUAUCAAACAUGAUUUAACUGUCUUUUCUGGUGUUCUUUUAGAACUUUUGGAAAGUUCUCAAUCACAGUUUG